rnacentral:rRNA from 1 species
UACGGAGGAUGCGAGCGUUAUCCGGAUUUAUUGGGUUUAAAGGGUGCGUAGGCGGGAUGUCAAGUCAGCGGUAAAAAUGCGGUGCUCAACGCCGUCGAGCCGUUGAAACUGGCGUUCUUGAGUGGGCGAGAAGUAUGCGGAAUGCGUGGUGUAGCGGUGAAAUGCAUAGAUAUCACGCAGAACUCCGAUUGCGAAGGCAGCAUACCGGCGCCCUACUGACGCUGAGGCACGAAAGCGUGGGUAUCGAACAGG